rnacentral:misc_RNA from 1 species
CGGCAACUUAAUUGUGUUUUAGGUGGUGCACCUUUGUAAGCCCCUCCUACUGUCAGUAGGUGAGCAUAAAUCCACACUAACACCACACAGAAAAUGACUGCAAAUCGAUCAAAUAUGUGUUUUCCAGAUUUGAUCACGUGAGGCAAAUACUGAGAAACAAAGACCAAAAGGAUAAGCUCCGGCAGUCCAAUUUCCACACAUUUGGCAACCCCAGGGAAACCCAACUCAAAAAGCCCAAACCCAACUAGAGAAACCAAAGGAACGG